rnacentral:rRNA from 1 species
GUGGGGAAUAUUGGACAAUGGGCGAAAGCCUGAUCCAGCAAUGCCGCGUGAGUGAUGAAGGCCCUAGGGUUGUAAAGCUCUUUUACCCGGGAAGAUAAUGACUGUACCGGGAGAAUAAGCCCCGGCUAACUCCGUGCCAGCAGCCGCGGUAAUACGGAGGGGGCUAGCGUUGUUCGGAAUUACUGGGCGUAAAGCGCACGUAGGCGGCUUUGUAAGUCAGGGGUGAAAUCCCGGGGCUCAACCCCGGAACUGCCCUUGAGACUGCAAGGCUCGAAUCCAGGAGAGGUGAGUGGAAUUCCGAGUGUAGAGGUGAAAUUCGUAGAUAUUCGGAAGAACACCAGUGGCGAAGGCGGCUCACUGGACUGGUAUUGACGCUGAGGUGCGAAAGCGUGGGGAGCAAACAGGAUUAGAAACCCGAGUAGUCC